UACCGAUUGGGGGUGGUAGUGGUAUCUCGUGAUCAUUGAUGAUGAUGACGGCGAUGAUAACGUGAGCUUCUCUAAGCGAGACCGCCGCAGUAAUAGGGCCCCCACCGCGCGCACAAACACACGGACGCGGUUUUGUGUGCAAGGGAGACGUGUUGCCAGUGUGUUGAUACAGCCUUUUCCGCAGCUGGAAAGCUACAGGUACUGGCCGCGGACAGUACAUAGUGGUCGCCAAUGUGAGAUAUGGGGAAGCUUCCCAUGUCACAGCAGAUAGCCGCGUCCGAGAGAUAAUAAAUCGCAGUGCAAGGUACGAUUUUGUGGACUGCUUGAAGUGUUAUUACAUCGACGCUACUAUGGAGAGCCGACAGAUUCUGUGUAACUGCACGUCCGCAAGCUAUACCAUAGUCAUCGUUUGUUAUCGUUUAGGUCAAUCAAAUUAAUAAUUAACAUGUUUUUUGUGUAAACGUUUGUGUCACAUAUUUUGAUUAAUCCAAGCUCUUUACAACACAUUUUUGUUUAAGAAGAAAUUACAUGAAGGUCAUUUCAAGCAGUGUAAUAUUUUUUUUAUCUUGCUUCUAACCCUAACACAACAACCCUUCGCGCAUACAUCAGCUAGAAACUAUAAUCAUCUUCACUAACUUUGAACGAAGCGCGAUGAAAAUCGCACUUUAGUAUUCACCGAACUUCAUUCCUGCCAGCGGCAAGUACUGCAACACUCUGACCUCAAGGGAGCGAAACUCUUCUUCGUGCUCAACAUUCUCGGGUUGUUACCAGCGACAGAGAACUGCAUCACACAGAAGCAUCAUGUUGUCCGGUGUUAGUAACAACCUUCCCCCGGAAGCCAUGCGACAACACAAUGGGGGAGUUUUGAACAAACUCUUACCACCGUGUUCCGUGUAUACUUCAUUACGACGAUCGUCCUUUCUGCACAUAUGAACGUUGCGCGUGCUGCUGCUGCUGCUG